AGUGAACGCUGGCGGCAGGCCUAACACAUGCAAGUCGAACGAACCUACCGGGGGUAGUGGCGGAUGGGGGUGUAACACGUCGGAACGGGCCUUUAGGUAUGGAAUAACUCUGGGAAACGGGUGCUAACGCCGAAUGUGCCCUUCUGGGGAAAGAUAUAUCGCACUUAGAGCGGCCCGCGUGUUAUUAGCUUUUGGGGUGAGGUAAUGGCGUACCAAGGCGACGUUCAGUAGCUGGUCUGGGAGGGGGAUCAGCCACAUCGGGACUGAGACACGGCACAGACUCCUACGGGAGGCAGCAGUGGCCAAUCUUCCACGAGGGGCGAAAGUGGGAGGAAGUGACGCCGGGUGGGUGACGAAGGCCUUCCGAUCGGAGAGAACUGUUAUGGGGUAAGAAAUGAAAAAUUUUUUUCCCCGGGCGUAUUGACGGUACCCAAAGAAAAAGCCCCCGCUAACUACGUG
rnacentral:rRNA from 1 species